GAAGGUAUAGCUCAAUUGGUAUAGCACACGCUCAGCAUGCAUGAGGGCCCUGGGUUCAAUCCCCAGUACCUCCC
rnacentral:tRNA from 1 species